ACGUAAAUGCGCUUGGAUUAAAGCAUCGUUUGAUACUAGUAUAAAGUUUUGGGAAAUCGCUCCUCUUGGAAACAGCUUUUUGUCUGGGGCAAAGGCCGACGACUAUGAGAUUUUUACAAUAUGCGCUCUUGGCCUGCUUCAUCGUCUGCAUAAUUGCCGAGGAAGACGACGACGAACAAGACGCGGGGGCUGACGGCAAC
rnacentral:lncRNA from 1 species